rnacentral:tRNA from 1 species
GGGCGCAUAGCGCAGUGGUAGCGCGUCCGCUUUGCAAGCGGAAGGCCCCGGGUUCAGUUGAAGAAGUCUGUAUUUA